rnacentral:misc_RNA from 1 species
GGGAAGGAAAAUUCUCUGCACGAAAACAAAUCCAAACAGUGGACCACGGGGCGGUCGAUAAUUGAGACAUCGAGCAUUUGCUUUACGGAAUUAGCAUGUAAUCUCUUCUGUUCAUCUUAUGACGAUCGAAGUUUCUCCUUAAUUUGAAUCUGUUCCAAUCUCUUCUGUUCAUCUUAUGACGAUCGAAGUUUCUCCUUAAUUUGAAUCUGUUCC